UGGGGAAUAUUGGGCAAUGGGGGAAACCCUGACCCAGCAACGCCGCGUGAAGGAAGAAGGCUUUCGGGUUGUAAACUUCUUUUACCAGGGACGAAGAAAGUGACGGUACCUGGAGAAAAAGCUCCGGCUAACUACGUGCCAGCAGCCGCGGUAAUACGUAGGGAGCGAGCGUUGUCCGGAUUUACUGGGUGUAAAGGGCGUGUAGGCGGAGCUGCAAGUCAGAAGUGAAAUCCCCGGGCUCAACCCGGGAACUGCUUUUGAAACUGCAGCCCUUGAGUAUCGGAGAGGCAGGCGGAAUUCCUAGUGUAGCGGUGAAAUGCGUAGAUAUUAGGAGGAACACCAGUGGCGAAGGCGGCCUGCUGGACGACAACUGACGCUGAGGCGCGAAAGCGUGGGGAGCAAACAGG
rnacentral:rRNA from 1 species